rnacentral:rRNA from 1 species
AUUGAACGCUGGCGGCAUGCUUUACACAUGCAAGUCGAACGGUAACAGGCCGCAAGGUGCUGACGAGUGGCGAACGGGUGAGUAAUGCAUCGGAACGUGCCCAGUCGUGGGGGAUAACGCAGCGAAAGCUGCGCUAAUACCGCAUACGAUCUAUGGAUGAAAGCGGGGGACCGUAAGGCCUCGCGCGAUUGGAGCGGCCGAUGUCAGAUUAGGUAGUUGGUGGGGUAAAGGCUCACCAAGCCAACGAUCUGUAGCUGGUCUGAGAGGACGACCAGCCACACUGGGACUGAGACACGGCCCAGACUCCUACGGGAGGCAGCAGUGGGGAAUUUUGGACAAUGGGCGCAAGCCUGAUCCAGCAAUGCCGCGUGCAGGAAGAAGGCCUUCGGGUUGUAAACUGCUUUUGUCAGGGAAGAAAUCCUCUGGGUUAAUACCUCGGGGGGAUGACGGUACCUGAAGAAUAAGCACCGGCUAACUACGUGCCAGCCGCCGCGGUAACAC